rnacentral:lncRNA from 1 species
UGAGCAUCCAUCAUAUGUAACGGAUUAGGGAAGAGGGGAGAGGCCAUACGAAACGGAGAGAGGAGAGGGAACGACGCAGGAAGAGAGGAAAGAAAAUGCUCCAACAGAGAGAGGAGGUGGACUCGGCGGAGAGGAGAGAGAAAAUGGCGAAACGCUCCCUUUCGUGCGAAAAAACAGAGAGGAGAAAGGGGCGGUUCAGUUCAUUGGUUCAGAGAAGAGUCAUGUGGGUUCGGUUCGGUUCAUUUGAUUGAUGAGGGGAAGACAGGCGCUUCAGGUCGGUUUGGUUCGUUGGUAUGGUUUGGUUUAGAAAAACUGAAGAGGAAGAAGGGCGGUUUAAUUUCUUGGUUCAAAGAAGGGUUUUGAGGGGAGACAUGCCGUUCGAUUCGGUUUGAGAGAAAAGGGACGGUUCGGUUUCAGAGAGGGAACGAUGAGGAUGAAUUCGCUUUGAUUUUAUUUAGAGGUUUAGGGAUGUAAUGAGUGGUCCGGUUUAGAGAAUAAGCAAGUAAGAGAAAGAAGGAGCGGUUCGGUUCAGAAAGAUAGCUCGGUUCAAAAGUAGUAGUUCAGUUCAAUAGAGAGGCUGGUAAGGUUGAGUGGUUCAAUAGAGAGAAAAGUGGUUUAUUUUAAAGUGGAGUUAUGAGGAUGAAGGAUAAGAUGCCAUGUGGCAAAAAAUAUUGUGGCUUCAUAUAUGUUUAUAGAUAUAUAUAUAUAUAUGGCAGGGCUGCUGUGCUCUCAGGAGCACGGAGGCCUCCGUGCUCCUGAGCCAUUUUCGAUGAUGGAAUUUUCGAAUCGACGAUCGGCUCUGUUAGACUUGAUCUAGCGCAUUUGAAGUUUCUAGAAAAUAAUUUUUGCGAUUUUUCGAUAUCAUUUACCUAGUGAUCGAAAGGAUUCAAAAUCCAUAAUUUUUAAUGGUUGAUAUCUGCCGUUUUCAAGUUUAACGGUGUAGAAGUAUUCAAAUCAGAUGAAAUUUUGAUACAAAAUUCUUUAUACUAUCUACAACAAGCUCAAUAUUUCUAAUCAAAAAUUUCAGUGCUAUAUCACCACUUUUUAUAGGAUUUUUAUUUUUUAGCCGUUAAAAAUUAUUGAUUUUGAAUCCUUUCGAUUGCUAGGUAAAUGAUAUCGAAAAAUCGCAAAAAUUAUUUUCUAGAAACUUCAAAUACGUUAGAUCAAGUUUAACGGAGCCGAUCGUCGAUUCGGAAACUCCAUCAUCGAAAACGGCUCAGGAGCACGGAGGCCUCCGUGCUCCUGAGAGCACAGCAGCCCUGCUCAUAUAUAUAUAUAUAUAUAUAGAGUUGUGCUUCUAUACUAUCAAUAGUAUAGAAGCACAACUACUAUAGUGUUUUAAACCCUUGAUCCUUUCUCAAGAUUCGUGCACACAGGUGGGUGAAUUAAGUGGGAUGGCAACAUUUAACACCGUUAAAGGAGGAGAGAGAAACCCACUUAAAAACCUUACUCUCCCACUCUCUCUCUCUAUCUCUCUCUCUCUCAGGUUCCCCCCCAACCCAACCCAUCUCUCUCUCUCUUUCUUUCCCAUUUCUCCCAUUUCUCCCACAGGGCCUCAUCUCUGGCUCUUCUGAACUCACCCCGCUCCUUCCCCUCGCACCCAUCUGCCGGCUCACAACCCUAGCCGAGCGACACUGCCACCCGUCGGCGCCGCUCGUGGACGCUCCAACCCUAGCCACGCGACACUAUUCCGCGAAGCCCUCCAAACCCACCUGCGGACAUUGUCUGGACGCCGCUUCAACGUUGCUCCCUGACACCCUCCAAACCCGGGGACACCUCAUGGACCACAACAACAACAAUGACCAGGUUAUUUUAAUCCCUAGUUAGUUAAAAUAUUUUUUUCUUUAUAUUAAAUGGUUGAUAGAAAAUUAUUUAUUUCUUAAGUUAUAGAUUCAUAGUUGUUGAAUUAAUUACAAGUAUUUGUUUUUUUUCUUUAUGAUUUUUAUUGCAAGUAAUAAAUAGAAAAUUUGUUACAUUUUUUUUUGGGGGAUAAAAAUUUAUUAUCUAUACAUUUUCUCUUUAUGAUACUUGUUUAUGGCAGUAAAUAAAAAAAUUUUAAGAAUCAUAUGAGAUGGAUGAUGCUUAAUUUUAUAUUCCCUGUUUAUGAUUUUAAUGUUAUAGAUGGAUGAUGCUUUUCAAUCUGAAAAUAUUAGAAGAAACGGUGAGAAUAUGAAUUUAGAUGGUUUAUCUAUAUGUGGCCAAAGCAAUGCUCCAGAAAAUAUUAGUGAGAAUAUGAAUUCAGAUGAUUUUGAUGCCGAUUUAGAUAACCAUGAUGAACCAAACAGUUUGAUGCACGAUAGGGAUGCAAUGGAAGUUGUAAGUGAUGACCCCUAUAUUGGUAAAGAGUUUAACAGUGCUGAGGCAGCACGGACUUUUUAUAACUCAUAUGCAUUUCGACUCGGAUUUAGCAUAAGAAAGGCUAGUCAAUAUAAGGCAAGGAAACAAGAUGGAAUGAUGACAAGUAUGCUCUUGACUUGUUCAAAAGAGGGUCAAUCUAACGUCCGAGACUAUGACAAGCGUAGUAGUACAACUACACAAGGCCAAGUCACACCAACAAAAGAAUUUGCACACAAACGAUCAGGAUGUAAAGCCCUUAUGAGAGUAAAGAUGAUAAAAGGAGGUAAAUGGGUGGUUACAAGAUUUACAGAAGAGCAUAAUCAUGACUUAAUUGCAAGCCCAACAAAAACACGUUUUUUGCGUUCUCAUCGCUCUAUCUCCAAUGAGCAAAAACAAGUAAUACAACUGUUAAGAGAUCAAAAUAUUUCAACAAGUCAAAUUAUGUCUUACAUAGCAGCAAGAGAUGGGAGCUCACAAAAUAUCAAUUUUACUAUGAAAGAUUUAAGCAAUGAGAUUGUGUCAACAAAUAGGGGACUUGUUGGAGUUGAUGUUGCAAAUGCUCUCAAUUAUCUUCACGCAACUCAUGCCUCGGAUCCUUCAUUUUUUUACUCAAUUGAGGUUGACGAUAAUCAUAUGACAAAAAACAUAUUUUGGAUAGAUGGGAGAUCGAGAUUGGCAUACCAACUUUUUAAUGAUGUUGUGACAUUUGAUACAACUUAUAUGACAAACAAGUAUACAAUGCCAUUUGCUCCAUUUGUUGGUGUUAAUCAUCAUAGACAAUCAAUCUUUCUUGGAUGUGCCCUCUUAAGGGAUGAAACUGCCGAUACUUUUUGUUGGUUGUUUCAUACAUGGUUACAGGCAAUGUCGGGAGUGCAUCCAAAAGCAAUUAUUACAGACCAAGAUCCGGCAAUGAGAAAAGCAAUUGGACAAGUUUUUCCCACUCCUGUGCAUAGAUGUUGUCAAUGGCACGUAAUGAGAAAGGCAAGAGAACAUUUGGGAGUAUUAUAUAACAAAAUGGAAGGUUUCAAGAAUGAGCUAAAAUCAUGUAUUAAUUAUAGCUUGACAAUAGAAGAAUUUGAAACUAGAUGGAAUGAGAUGCUCGAUAAAUAUGACUUGAAUAGUAACAACCACCUUCAAUUAUUAUGGAAUACUCGGCAUCAAUGGGCUCCUGUAUUUUUUAGGGACACUUUUUUCGCCGAUAUGUCUACUUCACAACGGAGUGAGAAUGCAAAUGCUAUGUUGAAAAUGUUGGUGGAUUCGCAUACAUCAAUCUAUAGAUUUGUACAACAAUUUGACAAAAUAAUUCGAAGUCGAUACGAGAAAGAAGAAGAGGAGGAAUUCAAAACAACGGAUGGAGAGUCAUCUUUAUGGUCAUUAAAUCCCAUAGAGAAACAAGCACGCGAGAUCUAUACUAAAGUCAUAUUUUCAGAUUUUAAAAAGCACUUGAGAGAUGCUACAGGUUUUGGAGUUGUUGAAUUGGAGCAAUACAAGUUGUACCAAACAACCCUUUUGGAAAAUAUUUAUACAUUAAAACAAGGAUCAUGCUCAUAUAAAGUUGCAUCGAAGUAGAAACUGAAAAAAUUGUUGCAAUUGAAACAAAUUUGAAUUCACUGGUAUCUUAUGCCCCCACGCACUACGUGUGAUGCAACAUGUACGAAUGAACUUUAUUCCUACAAGUACAUUUUAAAGAGGUGGACCAAAAAUGCAAAAAAAAGGAAUGGAAGAUGGCAAAAUUAAAACUUUUACUAGUCAUUGUGGAUCUUCGAAUGGUACUGCACAUUGUAUGACUCGCUGAAUUUAAAGUCACAGUUUGUUAUGAAGGAUCAAGAAAUUGGAGGCAUAGGAGUUGGCUUGCCAUAAGAUUGAUGCAGCUAUUGAGGAGUUGAAGUCACUUAAUCAACCAAUGGGGGAAUAGGAAAGAAACUACGAAAGAAAAACAAGGUGAUUACCACGACGUUAUUUUAUCACAAGUCUACUCAUUAAGGACAACUAUGGAGGAAUGCAUUGUUAAAGAUCCACCUCAAUCUAAUUGCAAAGGUAAAAGAAAGCCUCAAAGAUAUAAGCCACCAGCUGAGAUGAAAGCCAAAAGUCUAGACUUGUGCAAAUUGCAAAAAAAAAGGACAUAAUAUUAGAACUUGUAAAGAGGUAAGCUAAAUUUUUUAACUCAUUUUUUACAUAUAUUAUUUAGUAGCUAAUUUCAAUAAUUUUGUUUUGAAACUAAUAUAAUUUUUUUAUGGUUCUAUAAUACAGGGGCUUACUGUUGCAGAUUGUCUAGAUGGUGAAUCAGUGAAGUCAUCCAGGACAAUAGUAGAGAUGCAUCAGAGGACUAAAAUUGAGACAAAUGUUCAAUGUGAAAUUAGUUGAUGUACUACAUGUUGUGUGGAAAUUAAAUUGUAAUUUUUCUUCAGUGGAUAUUUUGAUUUCUAAAUUCGGAUUCUAUUAGAGUGUAAUCUUGUCUUCUACUAGAUAUCUUUAUUUCCAAAUCAAUUGUAAUGUAGAAUGUUGAAUGUGGAUGAUUAAAUUACAGUGGUCACUCUUAAUUUGGAUUCCAUGUUAUUGACUCUUUAGAUUCCCCUCAUUCUUUGAAUUCUUUGAACAAUAUUUUAUGCAACUGUAGCACUGGGGCUUUCAUUACUAUGCAUCUAAUAGAGGAUCCGCGGUCGGGGAGAUGUUACACGGAUUUGGGGGAGCAAUAUCUUUACGCAACUAUACGAAUAAAUAAAAACACCAUAUAGAUUAUGUCAUAUAAAUUUAUUUAUAAAAUCAGAUUACAUCCAAAAUAACUCCAUCAGAUUAAAGGUAUUUAAAAUGAUUAAGUAUUACACAAUGCAUAAAACAAACUAGAAGAACUUAAAUAUUACACAGAGAAAAUUACAAUAAUUAUGAUAAUGAACAAUUUCUCUCUGCCUCUGUGACCCUUGUGGAGAGCUCAUCAAUUCGCGCCGUUAGAAUACCAAUUUGUUUAGCUGUUUCAUUCGAAUUUGAUAUAUAUGUUCAAACAGCCAUUCAUCUGAAUAUUUUGCCGGCGAUGCAGAACGUUGAAAAAACAUACUCCUUUCCACUUUUGAAGAGUUAGCGCUAUCUUCUUCAGAUAUAUCUUUGUCUCUCCUUAUAAUUUUAACAUCGCACCAUUGAAAAAAAUCGCAGUAAUUUUCAUUUUCUUUCUUAUAAUUAGGACACCCAUAAAAUGAUCUUCCACUACAAUUUGGUUGAGAGGAAACUCGUAAAACAGCGACUUCAUUGCAGUUGCAGCGAACAAUCCGCUUGUUGAUUGCGCUUCUCAUAUAAAAUGAUAAUAAUUACCUACAUGAAAAAUAAAUUUAGUUAGAAUAAAUUUAUUUUUAAGGAAGCAUACAAAUAUUGAUAAAUUUUUCUUUAAAAAUCAGAACAAAAUUAAAAAUUUUAGCACAAAUCUUGUACUUUUUUUUUACAUAAUUUUUUAAAAUAAAAUUAUAAAAAUAUUAGAAAAAAUAAAAGAAAAUAAUCAUUUUCUAUAAUUGUAAAAAAUUGCAUAUGCUUUUCAUUUUAUUUUUUAAAUAAUUUAAAAAAAUUUAAAAAAAUUCAGCUAAAAAUAGAAAUAAAUAUGUGGGAACACAAUAUUUGACCAAGUUUUGUCGAGGAGUGGUGUCGUUUGGAGGGCUUCGCGGAAUAGUGUCACGCGGCUAGGGUUGGAGCGUCCACGAGCGGCGCCGACGGGUGGCAGUGUCGCUCGGCUAGGGUUGUGAGCCGGCAGAUGGGUGCGAGGGGAAGGAGCGGGGUGAGUUCAGGAGAGCCAGAGAUGAGGCCCUGUGGGAGAAAUGGGAGAAAUGGGAAAGAAAGAGAGAGAGAGAGAUGGGUUGGGUUGGGGGGGAACCUGAGAGAGAGAGAGAGAGAUAGAGAGAGAGAGAGAGAGAGAGAGAGAGAGAGUCAGGUUUUUAAGUGGGUUUCUCUCUCCUCCUUUAACGGUGUUAAAUAUUGCCAUCCCACUUAAUUCACCCACCUGUGUGAACGAAUCUUGAAAAAGGAUCAAGGGUUUAAAACACUAUAGUAGUUGUGCUUCUAUACUAUUGAUAGUAUAGAAGCACAACUCUAUAUAUAUAUAUAUAUAUAUAUAUAUAUAUAUAAAGAAUUGAGCUCCUAUGCUUUUAAAAGUACCAAGUCAUUAGUGCUUGUAAGUUUUCGGCCCUUGGAUUAAAGGAUGUGCGGUUAGGAUGAUGUGGGCCCGCUAGGGUUGAGUGGGUGGUUGGUUUAAUAGUAUAAUCUAACGGGUAAAAAUGAUCAAAGGUAGAGAUCUAACGGUAAAAAAUUUACAAGCACCAAGUGCUUGAUACUUUUAAAAGCACCAUAGCCGGACUAUAUAUAUAUAUAUAUAUAUAUAUAUAUAUAUAUAGAGAGAGAGAGAGAGAGAGAGAGAGAGAGAGAGAGAGUCCGGCUACUAUACUUUUAUGAGUAUUGGCUCUCUUAUACUCAUAAGUUUUUAGCCUUUAGAUUUAUUCCAUUGAUCAUUUCCACCCGUUAGAUCAUACUAUUAAACCAACUACCCACUCAACCCUAUGGGACCACUAUCAUUCUAAGUGGGGACCACCUGUUGGCUUAAAUGGGCCAGCAUCCUGCCCUGUGGCGGGAGGCCAUGUGGGCCGAGUUAUGUUCGAAAUGGCGUGAGGCUGGGUUGGGCCGAGUCAUGUUCGAAGUGGCGUGAGGCCAGGUGGGCCGAGUCACAAUCGAGACACGUGGGCGCUGUUUCUGUACGCUUUAAGUGAAUUGGUUGCGUAUUUCUAACAGCUCGAGCUUUUGGGAUUAAUGGUUAGUGCCAACGAUCCGACAAGUGGUAUCAGAGCCAGAGGUCACGGGUUCGAUUCUUGCAUGCUGCAAAUGUGUGCAGGUACUGGAGGGGAGAUUGUUGGCUUAAAUGGGCCAGCAUCCUGCCCUGUGGCGGGAGGCCAUGUGGGCCGAGUUAUGUUCAAAAUAGCGUGAGGCUGGGUUGGGCCGAGUCAUGUUCGAAGUGGCGUGAGGCCAGGUGGGCCGAGUCACAAUCGAGACACGUGGGCGCUGUUUCUAUACGCUUUAAGUGAAUUGGUUGCGUAUUUCUAACAGCUCGAGCUUUUGGGAUUAAUGGUUAGCGCCAACGAUCCGACACCACCAUCAUCUUAAUCAUACAUCCCAUCAAUCAACGGUUAAAAAUUUAUGAGUAUAAGGAGGUCUAUACUCAUAAGAGUAUAGUAGCCCCAGCCUAUAUAUAUAUAUAUAUAUAUGGGGGAUAAUUGUCUAUAUACCCUUCAAAACUUCGAAAAUAUCUCAUUUACUCCUACUUUUUUUUUUAUUUCCAAUAUACCCCUCAUAUGUUCCUCCGUUAUUCCAAAAUACCAUUGUAGUUACCACUCGUUAAGUUAACUUGGAUUAAACGUGAGUUAAAUAUCUACUACAGUUAAAAAAAAUUAAAAUACCACUUUUGCCCUUAAUUUAAAGGCAAAUAAGAAAUGUUGGUGAUGAUAGAAGAGUAUAUUUAAAAAGACCAAAAAGCAAAAUACUUUUUGUGCCGCUAACUUAAGGGCAAAAACGAAAAGUCGGUGAUGGUAGAAGGAUAUAUAUGAAAGGGCAAAAUAGUAAUUUCAUAGAGAUAACAGAUUUCAUUAACAGAUUUUAACUCUAAGGUAUAUUAGAAAUAGGUAGGAAUGUAAAAAAGACAUUUUCAAUAGUAGCCUUCUAAGAGGGGUAAAUUAGAAAGUCGGAAACUUUUCAGGAGUAUAUAAGCAAUUACCUCUCUCUCUCUCUCCCUCUCUCUCUCUCUCUCUAUAUAUAUAUAGUCCCGCUACUAUACUAUCGAUAGUACCAAGCCCUUGGUACUAUUGAGUUUUCUACCGUUAGAUCUACCGUUUGAUCAUUUUCACUCGUUAGAUUAUACUAUUAAACCAACCACCCACUCAACCCUAGGGAACCACUAUCAUCCUAACCGCACAUCCUUUCAUCCAACGGCCGAAACCUCAAUAGUACCAAGGGCUUGAUACUAUUGAUAGUAUAAUAGCAUAAUUCUAUAUAUAUAUAUAUAUA